rnacentral:rRNA from 1 species
GACGGAGGGGGCUAGCGUUGUUCGGAAUUACUGGGCGUAAAGAGCGCGUAGGCGGCUCAGCAAGUUGGAAGUGAAAUCCCAAGGCUCAACCUUGGAACUGCUUUCAAAACUGCUGAGCUAGAGUAUGGUAGAGGGUGAUAGAAUUCCUAGUGUAGAGGUGAAAUUCUUAGAUAUUAGGAGGAAUACCGGUGGCGAAGGCGAUCACCUGGGCCAUUACUGACGCUGAGGCGCGAAAGCGUGGGGAGCAAACAGG